AAAAUUCGAUCUUCAUUAAAUUUUUGAAAAUUUUAAAAAUCCAUGAAAUUUUUUGCGAGUGCAGAAAUAUAAUUCCUAAAUUAUAUAGAAAGAGGAUGAGCAGAAGGAUAAAAAAGAAGAAAAGGGGCCCCCAUCGAAUGUUGUAUUAACACACAGGAAGGAUGAGAAAAAGGAAGAGUAUGUGUCUCCUUCGAAUACAGCAAGAGUAUUAUCACAUAGGAAGAAUUACAGACUACUCCGCAGUGGUUAUUAUUUCUAUUGAAGAAUUGAGAUUCUUUUUUGUGUUUUAUUUUAAGCUAAACCAGCAGGCAUUAUUAUUUUGUAUUUUGGGUAUGAAAAUAAAUACUAAAAAUUAUGAGAACUGGUAAUUAACUA